rnacentral:rRNA from 1 species
GACAGAGGGUGCAAACGUUGCUCGGAAUUACUGGGCGUAAAGCGCGUGUAGGCGGGCUGAUAAGUCGGACGUGAAAUCCCUGGGCUCAACCCAGGAACUGCAUCCGAAACUGUCAGUCUGGAGUGGUGGAGAGGGAAGCAGAAUUCCUGGUGUAGAGGUGAAAUGCGCAGAUAUCGGGAGGAACACCGAUGGCGAAGGCAGCCUUCUGGGCCAACACUGACGCUCAUGCACGAAAGCGUGGGGAGCAAACAGG